AUUGAACGCUGGCGGCGGGCUUAACACAUGCAAGUCGAACGAGUGGCGGACGGGUGAGUAAUGCUUGGGCAUCUGGCUAAUAGAGGGGGAUAAAUACGGGAAACUGUAGCUAAUAACGCGUCACAAAGGAGGAGCCCAAGUGGGAUUAGGUAGUUGGUGAGGUAAAGGCGCACCAAGCCGACGAUCUCUAGCGGGUCUAAGGGGAUGACAAACCACACUGGGACGGAGACGCGGCCCAGCCUCCUACGGGAGGAAGCAGUGGGGAAUAUUGGGCAAUGGGGGCAACCUGAAGUAGCCAUGCCGCGUGAAUGAAGAAGGCCUUCGGGUUGUAAAGUUCUUUCGGUAUCGAGGCGUUAUCUACAGAAUAAGCACCGGCUAACUCCGUGCCAGCAGCCGCGGUAAUUC
rnacentral:rRNA from 1 species